rnacentral:rRNA from 1 species
GUGGGGAAUAUUGGACAAUGGGCGAAAGCCUGAUCCAGCAAUGCCGCGUGAGUGAUGAAGGCCUUAGGGUUGUAAAGCUCUUUUACCCGGGAUGAUAAUGACAGUACCGGGAGAAUAAGCUCCGGCUAACUCCGUGCCAGCAGCCGCGGUAAUACGGAGGGAGCUAGCGUUAUUCGGAAUUACUGGGCGUAAAGCGCACGUAGGCGGCUUUGUAAGUUAGAGGUGAAAGCCUGGAGCUCAACUCCAGAAUUGCCUUUAAGACUGCAUCGCUUGAAUCCAGGAGAGGUGAGUGGAAUUCCGAGUGUAGAGGUGAAAUUCGUAGAUAUUCGGAAGAACACCAGUGGCGAAGGCGGCUCACUGGACUGGUAUUGACGCUGAGGUGCGAAAGCGUGGGGAGCAAACAGGAUUAGAUACCCCUGUAGUCC